GAUGAACGCUGGCGGCGUGCCUAAUACAUGCAAGUAGAACGCUGAAGGAGGAGCUUGCUCUUCUGGAUGAGUUGCGAACGGGUGAGUAACGCGUAGGUAACCUGCCUGGUAGCGGGGGAUAACUAUUGGAAACGAUAGCUAAUACCGCAUGACAACAGUUAUUGCAUGAUAACUGUUUAAAAGGGGCAACUGCUCCACUACCAGAUGGACCUGCGUUGUAUUAGCUAGUUGGUGAGGUAACGGCUCACCAAGGCGACGAUACAUAGCCGACCUGGGAGGGUGAUCCGCCAAACUGGGACUGGGAAACGGCCCAGAACUCUUCGGGAGGGAGCAGUAGGGAAUCUUCGGCAAUGGACGGAAGGCUGAACGAGCCACGCCGGGUGGGGGAAGAAGGGUGUCGGAUCGUAAAGCUCUGUUGUGAGGGAAGAACGAGUGUGAGGGUGGAAAGUUCACGCUGUGACGGUACCUUAACAGAAAGCGACGGCUAACUACGUG
rnacentral:rRNA from 1 species